rnacentral:rRNA from 1 species
UACGGAGGGUGCAAGCGUUGUUCGGAAUCACUGGGCGUAAAGGGCGUGUAGGCGGUCCGCUAAGUCUGAUGUGAAAGCCCGAGGCUUACCCUCGGAAGUGCAUUGGAGACUGGCGGACUUGGGUCCCGGAGAGGAGGGUGGAAUUCCGGGUGUAGCGGUGGAAUGCGUAGAGAUCCGGAAGAACACCGGUGGCGAAGGCGGCUCGCUGGGCAGUGGCUGACGCUGAGGCGCGACAGCGUGGGGAGCAAACAGG